GUUAAGAAAAUGUGCCAAGAUUACCUCAGUAAUUCUGGUCUGUGUUCUCAGGAGACCCUGGAAAUAAACAAUGUGUCUUCUGUGGCUUCAGCGUCACCUAGUGCAGGCUGCCAUUCAACAAACGCAUUGUCAACAGUCAACCAAAAGAAACCCAUUGGCCACCAUACCCUGAGGACUAACCCUGACACAGAUGCCCUUCCAGAUGCCCUCAAUAGUCUAACUGAUUCCAUCGCCCCAGCCUUGGGGGAGAAGCACUGCUGCCUAUGCACUCCAUUUACAGGUGAACUGUCACCCCUACAACUCAGCUUGCAACCAGCCCUGGCCACCACCAGUUUCCCCACACUGAGCUGAAUAUUGGACAUGCCCAUCUUAGGCAUUCCAGCCCAUUCUGAAAUUCCACAUCGAUUCACCCGACAAAGUCUGAAGUUCCAGGGCAAUUUAUCUGGAAAAGCUCACCUGGAAUCACGUGUCAUUUCAACCAACAACUGUUGAAGAGGACGUGGCAUUAAAACCAAGGGUAUCAAUUAUUUAUAAGGGCUGUGUGCUGGUUGGUCCAAGCAUCUCUCCUUCAUGCCAUCACUCCUUUCAAGAGCUGCCUCUGUUUUCUAAUUUAGCACAGGAAUUUAGAUGCCCCUAAAUAAGUAGGCAUCCAGUAUCUGCCCACACCAGUUUUUGUAAGAGUACAUAUGGAGACACUGCCACCACCCCUGCUCUCCUACUGCAUACCCCACCAUGCCAAAGCAUGGUGGCUCACACCUGUAAUCCCAGUGCUUUGGGAGGCCAAAGAGGAGGAACACUUGAGAUCAGAGGUCUGAGACGAGCCUGGGCAACAUAGUGAAACCUCAUUUCUACAAAUAAGUUAGAAUAUAUAUAUGUAGGGCAUAGUGGCACACACCUGUGGUUUCAGCUUUUCAGCAAGCUGAGGCCGGAAGAUCACUUGAGCCCAGGAGUUUGAGGAUGCAGUGAGCUAGGAUUAUGCCACUGCACUGUAGCCUGGGCAGCGGAGAGACCCCAUCUCUAAAAAGAGGAGAAGGAGGGAAAAUACUGCUCCUUCUCAGACCCAAAGUAAAAAGGUUUCUGGUCUCACACUGACCAGAAAAACAUUGAUAUUUACUUAAGCAAUAUUAAAAGGGUCACUGCUUUAGAACAGGAUUAAAGAGAAAGUAAAAUCAACAUUGAGAUAGGACAGAGGCCAUCAACUGAGUUCCGAUCCCAAUGAAGACGAGAAAAGGCUACAACUAUCUAGGUUAAAUAUCUACUUGUCCUAGAAAAAGCCUUUUGGCGGCAACAUAAAAUUCAUACCUCUUAGUUUUUAAAUUCCUAUGGAUGCUGAAGCAAAUAACCACAAUUUGGGUGGCUGAAAGUAACAGAAGUUUAUUCUUUUCCAGUAUUGGAAACCAGGAAUCUGAGAUCAAGUUGUGGGCAGGGCUGGACUCCCCCUGGAGGCUCUAGGGGGUGUUCCUUCCUGCCUCUUCCAGUUCUUGGUGGCUCCAG
rnacentral:lncRNA from 1 species